CAAAACACGAAACAAGUCGUACAAAAACUACAAGCCACUUUCACUUUGAAGCUGUUAUUAUGAAAACCUCAAUGCGAGAUAAUAACAAUAAACACCUGUGUGAGGUUGAUAGGAAAGAUGUUUUAUGAAAGGAAAAAAUAGCAUUAAAAAAAAGCUUGUCAGAAAGAUAAAAUGCUUAAAAAUGUUUUAGGGUUGCAACUGUGUGUUAAAAAACGUACUACAAAUGUGCAACAAUUAUGUUACAUUUGCAAAAAACCUAAAGCUUCCCCAUAAUGAAAAUGUGUUUCAAGUAGUUUUGUUUUUUAACUGACUGACACUAAAGUAUGACUAAAGUUCAUUUUAACUUGUGUACAAAAUGUUCUAUGCACCCACUUAGAAUAUUAUAACUUAGAAUUAAUCUUAUCAAUAAUGGACAGAAAAUUUGUUUCACAUAAUGGUAGCAAUAAUGAGCCAGGCCAUAAGAAAAACUAUUCCUUCAAAAUAAAGCUUCUUUUUUGUCUUGAAGUGUCAAAAGAGGAGGGAUUUAUAUCUGACAUGAUCUAUUUCUGUCUGACAGAGACUGUUGUUGAAACUAUUCAGUCUGACUCUUCUCAGAGUGAACACUUGUACAAUGAAUCUUCUUUCAGUUAUUCUGUUCUGUGCCUCAACAGCUGUGUUUGGAAAUGUAAUAAAACCAAAGAAAAUCAAAGUUCUUAGUGAGGAGGGUUCAAGUGUUACAUUAUCCUGUGGUUUUUCUGACUCUGGACGUACAGAUUAUCUCCACUGGUAUCGUCAGUAUGGAAGAUCAAAACCUGAAUUUCUUGUACUCACCUACAGUAGUGCAAAAGGAGCUAAAGAGUCUGAUGUAGAUCCAAGAUUCACUGUUAACAUUACAGAAAGGGAACGUGUGGAUCUGAUCAUCUCCUCUGCUGCUGUAUCAGACUCUGCUCUGUACUACUGUGCUCUGCAGCCCACAGUCACAGGAAACACAUCAACUCUCUACAAAAACCUGUUACAAUGAGAGAUGAGAGACAAACACAGAGACAGAGAUGAAGACAGAGAAAAAUAAGCUGUGACU